GACGAACGCUGGCGGCGUGCUUAACACAUGCAAGUCGAACGGAAAGGCCCUGCUUUUGUGGGGUGCUCGAGUGGCGAACGGGUGAGUAACACGUGAGUAACCUGCCCUUGACUUUGGGAUAACUUCAGGAAACUGCGGCUAAUACCGGAUAGGAGCUCCUGCUGCUUGGUGGGGGUUGGAAAGUUUCGGCGGUUGGGGAUGGACUCGCGGCUUAUCAGCUUGUUGGGGGGGUAGUGGCUUACCAAGGCUUUGACGGGUGGCCGGCCUGCGAGGGUGAACGGCCACAUUGGGACUGAGAUACGGCCCAGACUCCUACGGGAGGCAGAAGUGGGGAAUAUUGCACAAUGGGCGGAAGCCUGAUGCAGCAACGCCGCGUGCGGGAUGACGGCCUUCGGGUUGUAAACCGCUUUCGCCUGUGACGAAGCGUGAGUGACGGUAAUGGGUAAAGAAGCACCGGCUAACUACGUG
rnacentral:rRNA from 1 species